rnacentral:pre_miRNA from 1 species
CUCUGGGGGAGGGGGACCCUCAGCCUGGAUUGCGAGAGGACACAGGCCAGACCGAGGGACCCCCACCAGUGCAGG